AUUUCGGAUCCUUCAAUUUCAGUGAAAACUUUUUCUCGAUAUGGGUUUGUGAUUCAAUUUCAGAGCCCGAUUUUGGUGUUUCAGGGUCCGGUUUUGAGUAGCAGCAGUGGGGUUUUGAGCUCUGCAAGAAGUCCUUCGAUGAGAAUUGCUUAUAGGUGCUGAGUUGCAGCACAAGAUUUUCUAUGAAGAAUUUGUUAUCAAGGCUUUCUACGAGGCUGAGAAAGCACACAGAGGGCAGGAUUGUGUUGAAACGGUGGUGUGCUCGCAUUGAUUGGCGAUAAUUAGAAAUUUGAGAAGGUGUGGAAUUUGGUUGAGAAUUUCAGUGUAGUGGAUGGUGGGAGCUUGUGAGGUGUGAAAGAGAGAGUUGGGUCACUGGGUGAGGAGGAGAGGAUCAAAAUUCAGACCCUAGUCGGAGAAAGAAAUCAGAAAUUAAAAAGGAACCAAUGUUUUUGGUGGCUCCGGUGAUCAUCAACAAUGCAUGAGGGAUUUUUCUAGCAGCUGUUAAGGAGGUUCUGGGCUUGUAUCUGGAGUUUUGGAGCGUGAUAACCACCUGGUUGGGCUUGUGAAUUCAAGUUAUACUAUGAAUCUUGAAUUAUGAAUUGAAUGGCUGAUUGUGAUUAUUGAUUUGGUUGCUGUCAAUCUUUCCAAGGUCGACGGCUAGAUCGGGGAGCCUCUUGGAGAGGCGGAGG